rfam:Gossypium hirsutum cultivar TM-1 chromosome 4, whole genome shotgun sequence
UAUUAAAAAUUUCAUCCCAUUGUAUUGUGAAAAAUUGUCGUGGCUGACAAAAUAACCAGAUAAUGACAUUUGGUGUGCCACAUGUACUUCAUAUUGACGUACGGAGACCAAAUUUUAAAGGUAGAAACAUGAGAUUUUUAAUA